rnacentral:rRNA from 1 species
UACGAAGGGUGCAAGCGUUAGUCGGAAUUACUGGGCGUAAAGCGUGCGUAGGUGGUUCUGUAAGUCUGUCGUGAAAGCCCUGGGCUCAACCUGGGAAUGGCGAUGGAUACUGCGGAACUAGAGUACGGUAGAGGAUGGUGGAAUUCCCGGUGUAGCGGUGAAAUGCGUAGAGAUCGGGAGGAACAUCAGUGGCGAAGGCGGCCAUCUGGGCCAGUACUGACGCUGAGGCACGAAAGCGUGGGGAGCAAACAGG